UGAUAUUUAGGUGCAUUAAGAUAUUCAAAUUGGUUGUACAUGGUGUAUUAAUGGCAAUGACAGUACUGUAAAUACUUGAAUACUUGAAAAAGAUGAAGAUGGUAGAGUAAAAUGUUCAUUUUCGAAAAGAAAGUAAUGAUAUUUUCGUUAAUAAUCCAAAUUUUUAGGGUGAAUUGGGCAAAUGAAAAUUACAAAAAAAAGUCAUGGGUUUGAUUUUGUGUUUGACUUUGAGUUUUAAGUCAUUUUUGCAACAAUCCCCAUAAUAUAUAGAAAUUAUUAAUACACUCAGAGAUAGUUUUAAGUUUUUUAUUUCACAAUAUGUUAGUUUCUACUAAUAGGACACUUUUUGUAAACUAAGCUCACUCUCAAUUUCCUCAUUCUUUUCAUUCUAACUAAUUCAGUUACGUAACUUGGAAAAAGAAAAACAUUAUUUUAUUC
rnacentral:lncRNA from 1 species